rnacentral:rRNA from 1 species
GGGACACGUGGUAUCCUGUCUGAAUAUGGGGGGACCAUCCUCCAAGGCUAAAUACUCCUGACUGACCGAUAGUGAACCAGUACCGUGAGGGAAAGGCGAAAAGAACCCCGGCGAGGGGAGUGAAAAAGAACCUGAAACCGUGUACGUACAAGCAGUGGGAGCACGCUUAGGCGUGUGACUGCGUACCUUUUGUAUAAUGGGUCAGCGACUUAUAUUCUGUAGCAAGGUUAACCGAAUAGGGGAGCCGAAGGGAAACCGAGUCUUAACUGGGCGUUAAGUUGCAGGGUAUAGACCCGAAACCCGGUGAUCUAGCCAUGGGCAGGUUGAAGGUUGGGUAACACUAACUGGAGGACCGAACCGACUAAUGUUGAAAAAUUAGCGGAUGACUUGUGGCUGGGGGUGAAAGGCCAAUCAAACCGGGAGAUAGCUGGUUCUCCCCGAAAGCUAUUUAGGUAGCGCCUCGUGAAUUCAUCUCCGGGGGUAGAGCACUGUUUCGGCAAGGGGGUCAUCCCGACUUACCAACCCGAUGCAAACUGCGAAUACCGGAGAAUGUUAUCACGGGAGACACACGGCGGGUGCUAACGUCCGUCGUGAAGAGGGAAACAACCCAGACCGCCAGCUAAGGUCCCAAAGUCAUGGUUAAGUGGGAAACGAUGUGGGAAGGCCCAGACAGCCAGGAUGUUGGCUUAGAAGCAGCCAUCAUUUAAAGAAAGCGUAAUAGCUCACUGGUCGAGUCGGCCUGCGCGGAAGAUGUAACGGGGCUAAACCAUGCACCGAAGCUGCGGCAGCGACGCUGAUGCGUUGUUGGGUAGGGGAGCGUUCUGUAAGCCUGCGAAGGUGUGCUGUGAGGCAUGCUGGAGGUAUCAGAAGUGCGAAUGCUGACAUAAGUAACGAUAAAGCGGGUGAAAAGCCCGCUCGCCGGAAGACCAAGGGUUCCUGUCCAACGUUAAUCGGGGCAGGGUGAGUCGACCCCUAAGGCGAGGCCGAAAGGCGUAGUCGAUGGGAAACAGGUUAAUAUUCCUGUACUUGGUGUUACUGCGAAGGGGGGACGGAGAAGGCUAUGUUGGCCGGGCGACGGUUGUCCCGGUUUAAGCGUGUAGGCUGGUUUUCCAGGCAAAUCCGGAAAAUCAAGGCUGAGGCGUGAUGACGAGGCACUACGGUGCUGAAGCAACAAAUGCCCUGCUUCCAGGAAAAGCCUCUAAGCAUCAGGUAACAUCAAAUCGUACCCCAAACCGACACAGGUGGUCAGGUAGAGAAUACCAAGGCGCUUGAGAGAACUCGGGUGAAGGAACUAGGCAAAAUGGUGCCGUAACUUCGGGAGAAGGCACGCUGAUAUGUAGGUGAAGUCCCUCGCGGAUG